rnacentral:rRNA from 1 species
UGAGGAACAUGACCUUCGGCGGGGGAUAGCCGGCCCAACGGCCGGGUAAUACCGCGUACGACCACAUGGGGACAUCCCUGAGUGGUGAAAGCAGCAAUGCGCCGAUGGAGUGCCUCGCGGCCUAUCAGCUAGUUGGUGAGGUAACGGCUCACCAAGGCGACGACGGGUAGCUGGUCUGAGAGGAUGGGCCAGCCACAUUGGGACUGAGACACGGCCCAGACCUNUACGGGGAGG